rnacentral:rRNA from 1 species
GACGAACCGUGCGAACGUUGUUCGGAUUCACUGGGCGUAAAGGGCGCGUAGGCGGCUUGAUGUGUCAAAGGUGAAAUCCCUCGGCUCAACUGAGGAACUGCCUUUGAAACUGUCUGGCUUGAGGCCGGGAGAGGGUAGCGGAAUUCCCAGUGUAGCGGUGAAAUGCGUAGAUACUGGGAGGAACACCGGUGGCGAAGGCGGCUACCUGGACCGGUUCUGACGCUGAUGCGCGAAAGCGUGGGUAGCAAACAGG